rnacentral:lncRNA from 1 species
CCAGUUUAACAACUCUGUUCACUGUUCCUAUUGCACAGUGGGCUCUUUGACGCAACAGAAAGAGCUGCUUUUUUUUCUUUUUUUUUUUUUUCCUUCUUUUUUUUUUUUUUUUUUUUUUGCUUCCUCUUAAAUCCGCCUGGCCAAUUUAAAGCUUGUGGAUAUUUCUUCCCCCUCGGGGACAGCUUAUGUGAGGAUUUUCUUUUUUAACAGUUCAUUCUGUUAAACCAUUUUUUUUUCUUGUUUGCUGUUAGAAAAUGUUGGAGCUGAACACAAGGCUUUCAUUGCAGACUGCUAUCAAGGGAACUAAGAAAGGAUGUAGGCAUAUUGUUAAUGUCUCUCUUCAAGCUGUAUUUGAGAUGCUCCUGUGUGACAGAUUGGUGUGAAAUUCCAGAUCUACCAACAGCUGAGGAACCUCACUGUGUAGCUGCAAUAUGUGCACAGUAUUUAGUUUUAGGCUCCUACUUUU